rnacentral:tRNA from 1 species
GCGCUUGUAGUAAAGUGGUAUUAUACCAGGUUCCCAACCUGGUGUCCCGGGUUCAAUUCCCGGCAGGCGCA